UACGUAGGCAGCAAGCGUUGUUCGGAGUUACUGGGCGUAAAGGGUGUGUAGGCGGUUGUUUAAGUUUGGUGUGAAAUCUCCCGGCUCAACUGGGAGGGUGCGCCGAAUACUGAAUGACUAGAGUGCGGGAGAGGAAAGUGGAAUUCCUGGUGUAGCGGUGAAAUGCGUAGAUAUCAGGAGGAACACCGGUGGUGUAGACGGCUUCUGGACCGUAACUGACGCUGAAACACGAAAGCGUGGGUAGCAAACAGG
rnacentral:rRNA from 1 species